rnacentral:rRNA from 1 species
CCUACGGGUGGCUGCAGUGGGGAAUAUUGGACAAUGGGGGCAACCCUGAUCCAGCCAUGCCGCGUGUGUGAAGAAGGCCCUCGGGUUGUAAAGCACUUUCAGUGAGGAAGAACGCCUGGUGGUUAAUACCCAUCAGGAAAGACAUCACUCACAGAAGAAGCACCGGCUAACUCCGUGCCAGCAGCCGCGGUAAUACGGAGGGUGCGAGCGUUAAUCGGAAUUACUGGGCGUAAAGCGCGCGUAGGUGGCUUGAUAAGCCGGUUGUGAAAGCCCCGGGCUCAACCUGGGAACGGCAUCCGGAACUGUCAAGCUAGAGUGCAGGAGAGGAAGGUAGAAUUCCCGGUGUAGCGGUGAAAUGCGUAGAGAUUGGGAGGAAUACCAGUGGCGAAGGCGGCCUUCUGGACUGACACUGACACUGAGGUGCGAAAGCGUGGGUAGCAAACAGGAUUAGAUACCCGGGUAGUC